rnacentral:misc_RNA from 1 species
UAAAGCUCAAAUCAAUACAAUUUUUAGUGCCCAAAAGCAUUACAUACGUUUUUCCUUACGUAUAACAAUAACAAAAAUUGACAAUUUUAAGGUUAAAACACAUAACUUAUUUCGAUAUAUUAUAGUUUUAAGUGUAAAUAAAACCAAUCUGGUUUACGUAAUUAACUACCGACGUUAGUUCCGAAGAUGCUUCGUCGCGCGCGCGCUGCUGACAACGAAGAUUACCGAAUGUCUGCAAGCAUGGACACCGAUGACGAAAAUACAUCUGAAGAGGAACAUAUAAGAUGUGAUGUAGAUAGAGUGGUACGGGGGCAGGGAGGCAGAGGUCAAAGAAGAGUAAGGAGAGCAGGACGCAUGACCAGAGGUAGAGGGUUGACAACGCGUCGAAGUCGUGGACGUGGUGGACAAGAUCAGACCCCCAACAGAGCUGAAAUAGCAGCAACUGCCAGAGUAGAAAGAUCCACAGAAUUGAAGGCAAGGAGCGCAUUAAUAACCUUCCAGAAGAAAACGUGCGAGAGCUGCUCUUUGAUGUCACCAAAAAGUAUCCAGCUUUAG